rnacentral:lncRNA from 1 species
UGAGGUGUUACAGCUGUCCCUAUUCAAUCCACUGUGAACCUGUCGAUAUGAACAACCUCGACUUUCAGAUGAUCAGGGUGAAGUGUGAUUGAAUACAAAGAACAGACGAACAAUUUGCGCUCCUCUGGGAAAUAAGUAACCAUGCCUGUCAGAAUCGGCAAAGAAAUGAUCUUAAAAGAAGAAUUCGUCUGGUACGGUGAGAGUCGGCCCGAAUACCGAAAAGAAUGUUAACCUGGAUACCAAAAUAAAUGGUAACACAGGAAUAACCAUGGCCUAAAUGCC